rnacentral:rRNA from 1 species
CAAUGGGGGAACCCUGAUGCAGCGACGCCGCGUGGAGGAAGAAGGUCUUCGGAUUGUAAACUCCUGUUGUUGAGGAAGAUAAUGACGGUACUCAACAAGGAAGUGACGGCUAACUACGUGCCAGCAGCCGCGGUAAAACGUAGGUCACAAGCGUUGUCCGGAAUUACUGGGUGUAAAGGGAGCGCAGGCGGGAGAACAAGUUGGAAGUGAAAUCCAUGGGCUCAACCCAUGAACUGCUUUCAAAACUGUUUUUCUUGAGUAGUGCAGAGGUAGGCGGAAUUCCCGGUGUAGCGGUGGAAUGCGUAGAUAUCGGGAGGAACACCAGUGGCGAAGGCGGCCUACUGGGCACCAACUGACGCUGAGGCUCGAAAGCGUGGGGAGCAAACAGGAUUAGAUACCCUGGUAGUCCAAGGGCGAAUUC